AGAAUUCUCCUGAAUAAGAACUAGAUGAAAGGGAGUCAAGCAAUUUAUCAGAAAGUUUUGAGUAAUGACUAUAAGGAAACUCAAGAGCAUGAAAAAAGAAAUAGAAACCAUGAAAAAAGAAAUAGAAGCCAUAAAAAAGAACCAGUCAGAUAUAAUGAAUGCAAUGUCUGAAAUAAAUAUACACUGGAAAGAAUAAACAGUAGGCCGGAUGAAGCCAAGGAUUGAAUUACUAAUUUGGAAGACAAGGUAGAGAAAAAAACCAAGGCAGAGCAGUGCAAAGAAAAAAGAAUUUAAAAAAAUGAGGAGAGCUUAAGAAACAUUUUGGACAACAUGGAACAUAAUAACAUCCACAUCAUUGGAGUACCAGA